rnacentral:rRNA from 1 species
AUGAACGCUGACAGAAUGCUUAACCCAUGCAAGUCGCUGGGGAAGUGGUGCUUGCACCAUGGCAACCAUGGCGGACGGGUGAGUAACGCGUAAGGGACUUACCUGCAGGACUGGGAUAACAGGGGGAAACUCCUGACAAGACCGGAUAAUGUCAUGGAGCUGCAUGGCUUUAUGAUGAAAGGAGACGCCUGCGGAGAGCCUUGCGUCCUAUUAGCUAGUUGGUGAGGUAAUGGCUCACCAAGGCGAAGAUAGGUAGCCGGCCUGAGAGGGUGGACGGCCACAAGGGGACUGAGAUACGGCCCUUACUCCUACGGGAGGCAGCAGUGGGGAAUAUUGGACAAUGGGGGCAACCCUGAUCCAGCAAUUCUGUGUGCACGAAGAAGGUUUUCGGAGUGUAAAGUGCUUUCAGCAGGGAAGAAGUAAAUGACGGUACCUGCAGAAGAAGCGACGGCUAAAUACGUG